GCUCUUAGCUGCUUCCCAGAGUGGGAUAAUGGAUGAUAUUUAUGGCAGUGAGUCACCCACGGCUUCAUCUCUCUGGACUCAAAGGCAGAGAGUGAAACAUGAAAGCCACCGCUAGAGGGGAGCUGUUAAAUUUCAAGUGGUUGCCAGAGCACAACUGGACAUCAAGGAGCAACAGAAAAGGAGUAUGGGAUGAACUUCUGAAAUAGAGACUACUAAUGGACCAGCAUCCCAAAACAGGCCUCGCUACUAUACCACAUUUGCUGAGAGCAACUGCCUUUUGGCCUGAAGAGUCCAAGGUGAUAGAUGGGUCUGCUCUGCCUGCUCAUCGUAUUUGUCACUUCAUUGAAGUUAUUAUGAGUGUGUAUUUAGGUAUUGAUGUGAUCUUUUGA
rnacentral:lncRNA from 1 species